rnacentral:rRNA from 1 species
CAUGCAGUCGACGAUGAACCCCGCUUGCGGGGGGAUUAGUGGCGAACGGGUGAGUAACACGUGAGUAACCUGCCCUUAACUCUGGGAUAAGCCUUGGAAACGGGGUCUAAUACUGGAUAUUGACUUUUCCUCGCAUGGGGAUUGGUUGAAAGAUUUAUUGGUUUUGGAUGGACUCGCGGCCUAUCAGCUUGUUGGUGAGGUAAUGGCUCACCAAGGCGACGACGGGUAGCCGGCCUGAGAGGGUGACCGGCCACACUGGGACUGAGACACGGCCCAGACUCCUACGGGAGGCAGCAGUGGGGAAUAUUGCACAAUGGGCGAAAGCCUGAUGCAGCGACGCCGCGUGAGGGAUGACGGCCUUCGGGUUGUAAACCUCUUUCAGUAGGGAACAAGGCCAGUGUUUAGCUGGUUGAGGGUACUUGCAGAAGAAGCGCCGGCUAACUACGUGCCAGCAGCCGCGGUAAUACGUAGGGCGCAAGCGUUAUCCGGAAUUAUUGGGCGUAAAGAGCUCGUAGGCGGUUUGUCGCGUCUGCCGUGAAAGUCCGGGGCUCAACUCCGGAUCUGCGGUGGGUACGGGCAGACUAGAGUGAUGUAGGGGAGACUGGAAUUCCUGGUGUAGCGGUGAAAUGCGCAGAUAUCAGGAGGAACACCGAUGGCGAAAGGCAGGUCUCUGGGCAUUAACUGACGCUGAGGAGCGAAAGCAUGGGGAGCGAACAGGAUUAGAUACCCUGGUAGUCCAUGCCGUAAACGUUGGGCACUAGGUGUGGGGGGACAUUCCACGUUUCCGCSCCGUAGCUAACGCA